rfam:Salmo salar isolate Sally breed double haploid chromosome ssa10, whole genome shotgun sequence.
UGUACGCACACAUGACUAAGUCACUUUGGAUAAAAGUGUCUGCUAAAUGGCAGACA